rnacentral:lncRNA from 1 species
CCCACACCUGCUGAGGUCCCACAUCUACUGAGGCCCAUCCCUGCUGUGGCUGCAUAGCUGCCUGCAUCCACCCCAGAGCCUGUGGCUUCUCCCUUCUUCCUGCCUAAGUGGGUCUGGAGACAGGGGUGUGGACAAGGCCCUGGGUUCUGAGUCCCGCCCUCAGGCCUGGGAGUGGGGACAGGUGGCACCUGUGUCAACACCAGCAGGCAGGAACCUGGGUUCACCUUUGGGACCCCCUGCCCACCCCAGGUGAGGGCCAGCACAUGGCAGCCUGGCCUCCCAGGACUCAGGUCCUGCCUGGGGAGAAUCCGCACGCGUGGUGUACUGCCAUUGCCUCCAGAUGCCCAGCCACAUAGCUGGAAAGAAAGGAGCAACGAUUUAAAAUAAUCACAGUGAAAACUCAUUGAAAAAAAUGCUGUUCACUGUGGACGGCCACAUAUAGACUGCAAGCUAGACCAUAGAUUCUGGUUAUAUUCUGUGAAUAUUUAUUGCACUUUCUAAAUGCCAGGCAAGUUUCUAAGCACUGAGCAUACAUUCCAAGAAGAUAUUCUAGAAAUCCCCACCUUCUGGAAGUCACCUUCCACCAGAGGCCGUCAGAUAAUCAGAAAAUAAAUAUAUAAAAUGUCAGGUGGGAUGUGUCCUAGGGGAAGAUGAAUCAGGAGAAUGGUAGGAUGAGGCAGGAGGUAGGAGAGGUUGGCGGGGGCGGUGAUGCCUUACGGGAGGGCAGCAUGACAUUUGAGGAGUGGCGCAAGGAAGGACACAGGCCUGUGGAUGUGCGAUGGAGGACGUCCCCUGCAGAGGGAGUGGCUGGAAAAAGCUGGUGGGGACAGAGCCGGUAGACGGUGGGGUGGGGCUGGUGGGACUCGCCACUGGAAUGCUUGCAGACUGUGACACAGGUUUUGUGUUUUGCUUGGAGUGAGGUGGGAAGGCACCAAGAAGAUCUGAGAGGAGAAGCGAGGGAAUCUGACCAGAGAUUUAAAAGGAUUGUGCCUAUGGGGCGCCGUGGCUCACACCUGCAAUCCAACACCCUAGGAGGCUGAGGAGGGAGGAUCACUUGAGCUGGGGAGGUCGAGGCUUCCAUGAGCCCUGUUCAUGCCACUGCACUUCAGCCUGGGUGACAGAGCAAGACCCCGUCUCUAAAAAACAAAGCAAAAUGAGUAAAAAAGAAAGGAUCGCAGGGAUGAUUGUGUUGACAACAGAACCCAGCAGCUGCCUCUAGAAGGGCCCUGUGUUGGGCUCGGUGCUCUCCUGGGCAACCCUGAAAUCCUUAGUCAUUUUUUAAGGAGAGGCUGGUGUUAGUGCCCAGGGCUAUAGACCAGGCGGCUUCCCCAGAAGACACUCAUUCUUUCCUUCUCGGGGGGGCUGGAUCUGAGGUCAGGGUGUCCGUGUGCAGGGGCUGCCUUCUCACUGUGUCCUCACAGGGCCAUCCCUCUGUGUGCAUCUGGGUCUUAACUGCCUCUUUUUAUAAGGAUGCCAGUCCUGCUGGGUGAGGACCUACCCAUGCGGCCUUAUUUUACCCAAAUCACAUCUGUAAAUGCCCGGUCUCCAGACGCAGCUACAUCUCGCAGCCCUGGGAACAGGCCUCUGUGUAUGAAUUUUGGGGGACACCACUCAGCCUGACGAUCCCUCUGUUCUGAGUAUUUGGGCCUGGGCAACUGGAAGAGGGGGGACCCUGGUUAUUAACUUGGGGAGACCAAGUCCAGCUUUCCUGGAUGGAGGGGAAAAAUGGGAGUUUCUCCCCUCUGAGUCCGAAACAAAAUUGUGCAGUUGUCUAGUGGAAAACGGACACAGGUGUGCUGUUCAGGGGAGCAGGGGAGACGGGGACGUGACCUGGGCGUAGACUUUAAUGGAAGCCCUCUCGGUGGUGGAGCAUGGAGAAGCCUCGGUGUCAGAGCAUGAGGAGGAGCAAGGUGAGUAGCAUGUGUGCAGAGGGUGCACCUGCUGAAGAAACCAGGGACUGCUGUGUCCCCGACACCAAGCAAAGGAAGGUGUUAACAGAGGGGCCUGAGGUUGACGGUGGCCGUGGGGGCCUAGGGGACUAGGAUGGGGACUGUCCCCUGGAUCUGGCUCUGAUGGUCAGUGCAGGGGCAGCGUCCGCCUGGACGGGAGAAAGAGCCCAGAGGGGAGGAGGGGAGGAAGGCUCAGGCCGCAGCUGCUCAUCUCAGCAGGUCUUUCCUCCAAACUCCUCCUGGCUCACAGACUCUCAGGAAAUCACACCAGAAAGCAAAGGAGAGUGCCAUUACUCUGGAGGCCAUUUGAUUAAGCCCACUCUAAUUGUUUGUUAGUUCCCAAACAGCAAAUUUUUGUAUUUUCAUUAUUAGUAGUUAAAAAUUACUUGGAUACUCCACGGUUGGCAGAGUUAUGCAGACGGUCUCACCUGCGGGCUGCACGCAGCCGCUCCGUGGCGCACACAUGUUCUGCCGAAGUCCACGUUUCCGUGCAGCCCUCACCACCUGGACGCCAGGGCGGCGCGGGGGAGCCCUCACCUCACGCCUCACCCGGUGUGGACGUGGCACCUGCUCGCUGCCCCUCCCCUCUGAGCAGCUCCGUCUGCACACUGCGAACUGCAUCGGUGCGGUUGUGAUGAAACCAUUUCGCAUUUACUGAGUGUGCACGCACUCAAUUACAACACGAACAUGUGAAACCAGAACAACGCACAGGAGGAAGAUACGGUGUUUCGUCCUGUUGCCCAGGCUGGUCUUCUAGGCUCAGCCAUCUGCCCAGCUCAGCCUCCCCAAGUGCUGGGAUUAUGGGAGUGAGCCACCUCGCCCAGCCUAAAAUCCAUUUUAAAAAAACAUGAGAAAUGAUUUGCAUUUGGGACUGAAGAAGAAUGAAAGGCACCUGUAGUUUUGACGCCAAGAAAGCCUAGUUAUACCUUUAUUUUAUUAACCUACUAUUCACCAGGUUUCUGAGUGUGGUUUCUCAGUGUGACCCUAACCCGUCUUAGGAGAGGCGGUGCUAGGAACUGCUAUAGGGGGGCACAGCAGGUGGUCCCUAAAGUUGUGAUGCUCAAGAGAUUCACAGAAUAUCUGAAGAAAAAAGACACGUUUGUUUUUGCAUUUUCUGUGGUUUUGCUGUUGUUGUUCAUCACAAAGUUUGCAGGUUUGCUACAAUUGUGAACAUUCAGAACAAAACACAGAAUAAGAUAAAAAUCAUCAGCUAUGCAAUUGUUUGUUUUUUAAAUACACAUUCUCAAGAUUUUGGUGUUGCUUUUUCUCAGGAUUUUUCUCUGGGAACAUGUUUAUCUUUUCCUGUAGCUGGAAUGACACUCAAUUUUUAGUUUGGGUUUCUUCUUUUAUUCAUCAUUAUCCUGUGGCAAGUGUUUCCCCAGGGUAUGAAAUAUUAUUAAAAGUACAGACUUUAAGGGCUGUUUUGCUGUUUAUCACGUGUAUCAUAAUGUAUUUAAUGCUCCCCAUCUUUUUUUGAAUAUUUAAGUAGCUUUCUGGGUUGAAAUCUUGUAAAUUACACUGCAAUAAAUGUGUUUAUCAUUGGUGCACAU